rnacentral:lncRNA from 1 species
GUAGAGACCGUCCUGGAGUGUUUGUGCCGCCUGAUUUCUGGGACUACACACCAAUCUCUCUGGCUGACCAUGCAAUAAGUAUUUUGCAAUUACAUCUGUUUGGUCAUUAUCCAUGCAGGCCGAAGAAACUGAGAUACUUACUUAUGAGGACAUAAACUGGAAAGUCCUGAAGGUGCAGUGCUGUCUAAUACCGCUGGUUCUGUAAUAACCCUUUCAACCAUUGGGGUGUUGCACAGAGCAUUAUGGUGAAAAUCCAGCAAACAAAAGAAGAACUAUGUGGAAGCUGAC